CAUUACUGAAAUCUAAAAUAAAUAUAAAUACCAAAUUACUAAUUUAUAAGUACUUACUCAAGCCAUUAUGGACCUAUGGCGUUCAAUUAUGGGGUGCUGCUAAACCCUCAAACACCCGUACAAUCCAAGCCUUCCAGUCAAUAUGCCUCCGCCUAGUUACAUCUGCACACUGGUACUUAACUAACAAAAAUCUUAAAAUCCUAAAUCUUAACCAAAUCUCCAAACUUUACUAAACCAGACUUC